GGGUGGCUAGCUCAGUGGUAGAGCGCAUCAUUCGCAUUGAUGAGGCCAGGGGUCCGACUCCCCUGUCAUCCA
rfam:Tritrichomonas foetus strain K scaffold_142, whole genome shotgun sequence.